rnacentral:rRNA from 1 species
AGCAGUAGCCGCGGUAAUACGUAGGGUGCGAGCGUUAAUCGGAAUUACUGGGCGUAAAGCGUGCGCAGGCGGUUCGUUAAGACAGAUGUGAAAUCCCCGGGCUUAACCUGGGAACUGCAUUUGUGACUGGCGAGCUAGAGUAUGGCAGAGGGGGGUAGAAUUCCACGUGUAGCAGUGAAAUGCGUAGAGAUGUGGAGGAAUACCGAUGGCGAAGGCAGCCCCCUGGGCCAAUACUGACGCUCAUGCACGAAAGCGUGGGGAGCAAACAGGAUUAGAUACCCGAGUAGUCCCUGUCUCUUAUAC